CAUACAUCUCUUUUUAGUUUAAUUUUGUGAUUUCUCUGUCAAAUAUAAUCUCAAGUAUAGUGUAUGUAUUGUUUUCAUAUGAGAAAAUAUGGAAUUUGAUUGAAUUUGUUGGUAUGCAAAUUGAGUAGAAAUGAUUUCGCCAUUGAUAUAAGUUCAGAUAAGUUUAAAUAAGCUCACGUAAGAAAAAAAUAGUAAAUAUAAUAAAUACUAGUAGAAAAAACCUCAAUUGCUCCGAUAAAGAGAAUAUCGUAGUGAAUUCCAUUAUGUUGUGAGUCUUUUUUUAAAAAGUUAUUCGGCUACAAAAGUUUCAUGAAAAGUGAAAAUUGGAACGUUUAUAUUGUCUACUAAUUUAGUACAAGCAAUAAUUUCUUUGAAUUGUCCAUGUAUCAAUAGAUGUUGAUAGGCUAUCUAAUUAAAAUUGCAUCAUAUGCGUCAUCCAAUGUAGCCUCUUGUAUUAUGUAUAAUUAGCUAGUAAGCCAAGUCUUCAAGUUAAACAUUAGCUAUUCUUCAUGAAUUUUUGCCGUCAAUCAAGUUUACUUGAGUGCUAGAUUAGUUGAGCAUUAAAUUAGUGACAAUUAUGUCUUAGCAUAUUUUGUAAGUUAAUAUUCUUAUUAGGAAGAAUUCAUACAACAAUCAAUAUAAAUUUAGAAUCUUUCUAUUUCUCUAUAGAGUAUGAUGUUUCAAGUACAAAUGAGUUGCGCUGUUUAGCUAGCUAUUAAGUAUAUGGAUAAUAUAGUGUAUAUUUGACUUAGGGUCUGUUCUCUUCGGCUUAAAACAACUGGACUGAAUUGAAUUGAAUUGAACUAAACUGAAAUGAACAGUGAUAUGUGAGAGUAAAAGUAUUGUCUAGAACUAAACUGAACUGAAAAUAAGUUGGGGAGAACAGACCCUUAACUGCCCUUAUUAAUAAGAUAGCAAAGGUAGAAAAGGUGAGUGUAUUAUGUCAAUAUAUACUAUAUUCCCUAUAGAAUAAUUAGUUAUAUGGUGUGAAAGAUAGUAAAUGCUUAAAAGAGUUGGUGUGCAUUGAGCUAUUGCACUCUAGAAAAAAAUGGACAUUCACCUAAGAUCUUGGACAAAAUUUGUAGGGACAAGGUUUAAAUCUCUCAAAUAUCUUAUCUUUUUAUAAGUAUAAUUUAAAUAGCAUACGUACUUUUAUAUAUGUAUAAUAUAUAACUAGUAUUUAGGCCCGGGGGAUGCCCCGGAUUUUCUCUUUGCUACAAUUUAUUAGUAGUUAAAUAAGGAUUCUCAUACUCAUUUAAAAAAGUCAUCUUAUUCAUUAUAUGUAUUUCAAACGUUUUCCAUUCAUAUGUCAUCAUUAAUUUUGAUUACAAAAUCAAUAAUGGUAAGAUGGAGUAAUGGUUGGAUUUCUUACUUUCAUACUUGACGUUGUGGGUUCGAAUCUUUACGUAAACAAUUCUUUUUUUUAACUAUAUGAGAAAGACGUGGAUAGAAUAUUAUUGGAUGAGGGAGGGUGACACGUGGCAUAUAUACGUUCUUAGGAACGCCUUUUAAUAUAUUAGUAUAGAUAUUUUCAAUAACUCGUGAGAAAAAAAAUUAAGGGCAAACCUCUGCUCGGCUACUCCUCCCGACUAAAAUUCGUUAUUUAAUGUUCUUCCCACAUGAUAAAGGUAUAUUAAUAUUCUCAUAUUUGAUAACUUUGUCAUUUCUUUAUUGUUUGUAAGAAUAAAAAUGUCUUUAUAUGCAUAUUUAUUUGGUGAAGAACAAUUAUGUAAAUAGUCUAACAUUUCAUUCUAGAGCUGGUCCAACAUAGACCCCAUUAUGUCAUGUUGAUAUUCAUUGAAUCAUGCAUAAUAACAGACUAUGUCUUGUUGUGCACCAAAAAAAACAGACUUAUGUCUUUAUUAAAUAAAUCGUACUAUGUUUUGGGAUUUUCACCAAAAUCAAGUCUUGCUUGUGACGAAGAUUUUUCUUCUUGGUGAAUAAUGAUAAAAAUGAAUUAAUAUUUCUAAAGAAAUAAACUUUAGAUGUUUCAAUAAAUAAGUAGGUCUUUAAGCACGGGCAUGGCCAAGCUUUUAUGCACAAGCAAAAGACAACCGAUAACAUUAUUCGGUUCCUCCUUUUUCUUUACACUUCUUCCUUUAUUCCUUCUUUUAUGGAUGGCAGGUAGUACUUGGUAAGAAGUCAUAACUAAGAACUCUUUAUUUUUUUUUAUUUUUUUUUUGAUUGGGAAAUUAAGUCAGUCCAAGAGCUAAUCCCUACUAAGGCUACUAGCCUUGUAGGAACUACCAGCACAUUGGCUGGUAAUACAUGCAAAGCAUGCUAAGGAAAUUCCCCAACAUAAUGCUAGGAGUAAGGAUCGAACCCCUGACCCCAGAGAUCAGAGGGGAGUGCUCUACCACAUGAGCUACCUCCUCAUCCUUAUAACUAAGAACUCUUUAUACUUUUUCAUAACAACAGUGAGAGCAUGUAGUUGAAAAUUAUAUAUAUAAACGAACCAAAACCUCGUACAGGUCAAUAUAUACGGUCGGGUUAGUAGGAUAGGAACUUUAAGGGUAAGAGGGAUGGUAAGGGAAAUCCUUACUCUCAACGUGCCCUAGUGGGAAUUAAAUCCUGACUUUAAGGUUGGGAGGCAUAAUAAUUCUUACUACAAGACGAAGCUUAACUUGGUAUGUAUACCGAGUAUUAUAUAUAGAUUGUAAGUUUCGUUGAUUUUAAUAAAAUUCUUCGGUGUCUUUCUAAUUUCAACAUUUUGACUUUGUUCAAUUUUUUUUUUAAUUACUAGGGACCAAAUUGUUUGAUAACAAAAGUCUAAAUAUUGUGACUUAAGAAAUGAGAGAGGUAUGAAAGCAAGGACUCAAGAUGUGCUUUAAUUUGAUAAACUUAAUGGGAAAUUUAUCCUCUCAAAUAAUGAGAGAUUUAUUUCUUGUCAUGUACUAACACAUUUGUAUAUGUCCUUAUAUGUCUAUCCAAAAUUAAUUAUCAUAUUAUUGAUUAGAUUACAUAAUUAUUAUUAUUAUAAUAGUUUAAGAUUACAAUUUGUUGUUAUUAUUUGAGAGUACUAUUUAUUUUUUGACAAAAAUGUGUCAAUCAAACUUAUUAAUGAGACCAAAUACUAUAGCAAUUAAUAAAAAGAAAUAUGACUAUCAAUCGAUUAGGUAUUUGUUCAAGUUGAUGGGGUUUCUUGUCGACAAGGACAAAUGCGUUCUUGAAGUCUUCAGAGUUGAUAUAGUACGAAAGAUUAUGUGUAUAUAACAUAAACAUGUAGCUUGUUGUUAAUAAUUGAGCUAAUAUAAUCUCUUUAUCUAAGAUAACAUUUUCUUUCAAAUGAUUCAUGACCUCCAUGUAUUUAGAAUAUGUUUGUUAAUAAUUCUUUUCUUGAAAUGAAAUGAUGCUACAAAUACUGAUAAGUUAGCAAAACUUGGCAAGGCACCACCACUAAAAGGACACCAUGUGACAUUAAUAAUAAUUUUUUAUCUCCUUUCGAAAAUUCGUGAUAAGAUGAAUUUCCCAUCAGACUCAAGACUGUAGUUGUAACAUUAAUAAUAUGGAUAUAAUAUACAUGCUAGUACUACACUCGUAAUUUUAAAUAUUGCAACUAAAUAAAAACAGAGGUAGCUAGUAUUUGUUCAUAUCAAUCAUAGUAUAAAAAGUUACCAAAGUUGCCUCUUAUUUUGUCCUACUUACUUUUGAGCAAACUCAUGCUUUGUCUCUAUAUGUUAUAGCUAAACUUUAGUCAUUGAAAUUAUUUAUAUACAUUUAUCGAUAGUUUAUAUUAUAUUACAAAAAAAGAACGAGGGAAAAUAUAUAUGUAUGCAAAUUAGCUUGAUUGGUUAUCUAAAACAUAAGAUCCAAUCUUUUCAACAUGACCAUUUUGUGGACCCUCUACAUAUAUAUAAAACAUUAGAAAUAUAUAUAAAAAAAAGGAUAAAUAUAUAGUACUCCCUCCGUCCCAAAAUAUAGUUCCCAUUUGCCUUUUUUCACGGUAAUUUAUGCAAGUAGAAUCUAGGAGGGAUAGUAAAGAUUUUUUGUUUAUUUAAAUAAAUGUUGUAUGGGAAAAGAUGAUCUUAAGAGAGAGAGUGGAGAAUCAUUGGUGAAAGAGCAUUAAUUGUAACAUUUUGGUUGAAUAAACAAAGGAAAAAACAAAUUUCAAGAAGAAAAUAAGGGUCUGUUCUCCCCAGCUUAUUUUCAGUUCAGUUCAGUUCAGCUCUAAUAAGUUCAGUUCAGUUCAGUUCAGCUCCAAUAAGUUCAGUUCAGUUCAGCUCCAAUAAGUUCAGUUCAGUUCAGUUGAGUUCAGAUCAGAUCAGUUCAGCUCUAUUUUUUUAUAACCAUUUUGUUAAAUAUUAUUAUUAUUAUGUUGGUAUAAUUUAUUUUACUAAUUACUAUUAUUAUUAUUAUUAUUAUUUAAAUAUAUAUCAUUACUAUUAAGUAUUAUUAUUAUUAUUAUUAUUAUUGUUGUUUCUAUAUAUUUUUUUUAUUGUAGCUUUACUAAUUAUUAUUACUAUUAUUAUUAGGAGGAACAUGGUUUAGGUCAAAGCACAAAUAAACCCACUUUUUUUAGCCCAUAAACCAAUCAAAUCGCGUCAAGACGGUUUAUGAUGUAAUUUUGCGGUCCAACCCAAUCAUUAUUUUUAUUACUAAAUAUUUUUAUAUUAUUAAAUCUAAUUAUUAAAAUAGUAAUAUUAAUUUACUUCUUAGAUAUUAUUGUUAUUAAUAUCAUCGUCAAGUAUUAAUAUAUUAAUACAAAUAAUAUAUAAUAAUUAUUAUUAAUUAUCAUUACUAUCAUUAAUUAUUAUUAUUAUUAAUAUUAAUUUUAUAACUGUCAUUUAAAAAUAUUCAAAAUACUACUAUUAUUAUUAUUCAUUAUUAUUACUUAUCAUUAUAAUUAUUAUUUAAUAUUAUAUUAUUAUUGUUUAAAAUAUUAUUUAUAUACUUAUUACAUUUAAUUUAUUUCAAUGUAAUAUAAUUCAAUUCAAUUUAAUUCAAUUCAAUUCAGUUCAGUUCAAUUCAGUUCAGUUCAGUUCAGCUCUGAUAAGUUCAGUUCAGUUCAGCUCCGAUAAGUUCAGUUCAGUUCAGUUCAGCUUUGAUAAGUUCAGUUCAGUUCAGUUCAGUUCAGCUGUUUUAUGCCGAAGAGAACAGGCCCUAAAUGAUGGGACACGGUUUUUCUAGACAAAUUACGGAAAAAUGUGGAACUAAAUAUGGAAAUGGGAACUAUAUUUUGGGACACCCAAAAUGGAAAUGGGAACUAUAUUUUGGGACGGAGGGAGUAGUAUUUAACAACGAUCACGAGCCGUAAAAACUUAUAUAGACCUGAUUCACACUAAGUUAUUGUGGAUCUAAUGCUAGUACAUGUGAUUUCUGAAAAAAAAAAUGGUCAAUAUAUACAUAAAAAAUAGAUAUAAAAGAGAAGUAUGUAUAAAUUACAAAGGGUUACUAUGUGAGAAAAAAGGUUACUAUGUUAUAAAAUAAAUUUUUAUCAUGGUAAGCUAAUGUAAGAAAGGGUAAUUGUAUCCAAAUAAACUGUCGCAAUGUUAGAUAAUAAUAGAUUUGUGUAACUUAAAAUUUUAAGAGGUCACUACAUGAUAAAAAAAAAAAGGUUUAUCGAGGUGAAUUUUUUUGACAAG